ACGAACGCUGGCGGCGUGCCUAAUACAUGCAAGUCGAACGCUUCUUUCCUCCCGAGUGCUUGCACUCAAUUGGAAAGAGGAGUGGCGGACGGGUGAGUAACACGUGGGUAACCUACCCAUCAGAGGGGGAUAACACUUGGAAACAGGUGCUAAUACCGCAUAACAGUUUAUGCCGCAUGGCAUAAGAGUGAAAGGCGCUUUCGGGUGUCGCUGAUGGAUGGACCCGCGGUGCAUUAGCUAGUUGGUGAGGUAACGGCUCACCAAGGCCACGAUGCAUAGCCGACCUGAGAGGGUGAUCGGCCACACUGGAACUGAGACACGGCCCAGACUCCUACGGGAGGCAGCAGUAGGGAAUCUUCGGCAAUGGACGAAAGUCUGACCGAGCAACGCCGCGUGAGUGAAGAAGGUUUUCGGAUCGUAAAACUCUGUUGUUAGAGAAGAACAAGGACGUUAGUAACUGAACGUCCCCUGACGGUAUCUAACCAGAAAGCCACGGCUAACUACGUG
rnacentral:rRNA from 1 species